rnacentral:rRNA from 1 species
UACGAAGGGGGCUAGCGUUGCUCGGAAUUACUGGGCGUAAAGCGCACGUAGGCGGCUUUCUAAGUCGGGGGUGAAAUCCUGGAGCUCAACUCCAGAACUGCCUUCGAUACUGGAGAGCUCGAGUCCGGGAGAGGUGAGUGGAACUGCGAGUGUAGAGGUGAAAUUCGUAGAUAUUCGCAAGAACACCAGUGGCGAAGGCGGCUCACUGGACCAUUACUGACGCUGAUGCUCGAAAGCUAGGGGAGCAAACAGG